UACGUAGGGUGCAAGCGUUAUCCGGAAUUAUUGGGCGUAAAGGGAGCGUAGGCGGUUGAAUAAGUAAGGUGUGAAAGCUAUGGGCUCAACCCAUAGUUGCGCCUUAAACUGUUCGGCUAGAGGAUGUAAGAGGAAAGCGGAACUCAUGGUGUAGCGGUGAAAUGCGUAGAUAUCAUGAGGAACACCAGUAGCGAAGGCGGCUUUCUGGGACAUUCCUGACGCUGAGGCUCGAAAGCGUGGGUAGCAAACAGGAUUAGAUACCCUGGUAGUCCACGCCGUAAACGGUGAUCAUUAGGUAUUGGGGGAUCGACCCCUUCAGUGCCGUAGCUAACGCGUUAAAUGAUCCGCCUGGGGAGUACGAGCGCAAGCUUAAA
rnacentral:rRNA from 1 species